AAUUUAUAUUUCUAUGAAAAUCUGUCAUAUACAUCGUCUGGUAAUAUUAAAAUUAUUUGUUCGAUAAAUAAAUACGUGAUACCUUAUGUUUAUUAGAACUAAAUAUAUAUCAAAAUUAUGACAAUUAAAAUAAUUAAAAGUAAUAUUGUUAACAGGUGGAAAUGGAUAAUGUAUAAAUAUUCGACAAUGUGGAAAUUAUAAUGGUCUAAUCUCGUGGUUUAUAUUGUAAAAACUGUAAAUACUCUGAUGGAAUAUUUAAAGGAUCUGGUAAAAAAAUAAAAUUCAUGAACCGAAGCACAUGUAAACUUAUUACGGGCACAAUUGCUCAAUUUUUUUCUAUAGAAGAUAAAGUCGAGAUAAAAGUCCGAAUGGAUAAUAUCGUGUGGAUUUGUUCAAUUGCCAUUAAUAAAUUUGUAAAAAUUUGUAAUGAAAUGACAACACUCGUUUCAUUAAAAUCCACUGCAUUAUGUUUUCUUGUGAAAAUGGUGUAGGAAGUUUUGACUCUAGUCUUUUUAAAUUGGACAAAAUUUUUCCAAUAUGCAUACUGUCACUGCACACACUGUCAACGUACACAGGCAGUCUUAAAAUGUUAUGCAGAAACACGACCGUUAUCUUUAAGACUAUUCUAUUCUAUCAUCUUUAAACGUAAUGAAACGAAGCAAGAAAUUUGGUUAUCAGAUAUAGGAACUGUUGGUCCUUCGGUAGAACGUGUAUUUAAAAGUAUAAUGACAGUAAAAUACUAAGCUUGGAUUAAACAUCCAUCAGGUUAAAAUAUUCAUUUUCCUCUUUUCAUUAGAAAAUUAAAACAGACAGAAUCUAACAUCAUUAUUUUUGUUCUUCUUCUAUGAUUAUAGUAAACGUACAUUUUUUACAUACAUUUUUAUGCUUUUUACGUUUGAUUUGUGUGAUUUAAAUACAAAUACAACGAUAAUUUUGUUUUCAGAAGAAUUUGAAGAAAAUUGUGAAUAUUAAUUUAGAUGAAAAUGAUUUAAGCGUAUCAAAAGAAUAUUAACAUUAACGUAUCACGUAUCACAAAAUAAUAACAUAAGAAGAUAAAAUGAUAAGCAUUGGAUAAGAAUAUUGGUAUGAAAUAUUUUUACGAAAUAUUCAUUUUAUUUAAAUAAAAUUUUAAAUCUCGAUAAUCUAACAACGGAUGAUGCAGAUACAGAUGUUAAGAGAUGAUACUUUAACAAUUGAAAGUUUAGAUGGAAAUAGAUUAUAUUUGGAUUUCACGGCUCAAUUUAGAAUCUAUAAUUUUACCACACAGUAUCGUUGAAAAUUUUGAAGUUGGACGUGAUCGUUCCUUAUUAGAGGAUAAUAUGAUAUCUAUUUAUAUUUUAUAUUUUUAUAUUUAACAUAUAUUCAAUGAUAGGCAAUGAUAGAGACUAGCAUGAUGAAAUUAAAUAGAAGUUUGAAUAUGAUAUGAUAAGCGAUAUGUAAUUGAACAAAUAAGUCAUAGAAAGAAAUUGAAAAUAAAUUUAUGAGCGAAAAUAAAUAUAAAUCUGAUGAUAUUUUCAGUUAACAGUAUUCCUACGCAUUUAGAAGUAUUGAAAAAAGAAAAACAAAGGAAAUGCAAUAUAGUACUAGCAACAAUUUGAAAAAUAAUUAGAUAGGUGGAAAUGGAUAAUGUAUAAAUAUUCGACAAUGUGGAAAUUAUAAUGGUCUAAUCUCGUGGUUUAUAUUGUAAAAACUGUAAAUACUCUGAUGGAAUAUUUAAAGGAUCUGGUAAAAAAAUAAAAUUCAUGAACCGAAGCACAUGUAAACUUAUUACGGGCACAAUUGCUCAAUUUUUUUCUAUAGAAGAUAAAGUCGAGAUAAAAGUCCGAAUGGAUAAUAUCGUGUGGAUUUGUUCAAUUGCCAUUAAUAAAUUUGUAAAAAUUUGUAAUGAAAUGACAACACUCGUUUCAUUAAAAUCCACUGCAUUAUGUUUUCUUGUGAAAAUGGUGUAGGAAGUUUUGACUCUAGUCUUUUUAAAUUGGACAAAAUUUUUCCAAUAUGCAUACUGUCACUGCACACACUGUCAACGUACACAGGCAGUCUUAAAAUGUUAUGCAGAAACACGACCGUUAUCUUUAAGACUAUUCUAUUCUAUCAUCUUUAAACGUAAUGAAACGAAGCAAGAAAUUUGGUUAUCAGAUAUAGGAACUGUUGGUCCUUCGGUAGAACGUGUAUUUAAAAGUAUAAUGACAGUAAAAUACUAAGCUUGGAUUAAACAUCCAUCAGGUUAAAAUAUUCAUUUUCCUCUUUUCAUUAGAAAAUUAAAACAGACAGAAUCUAACAUCAUUAUUUUUGUUCUUCUUCUAUGAUUAUAGUAAACGUACAUUUUUUACAUACAUUUUUAUGCUUUUUACGUUUGAUUUGUGUGAUUUAAAUACAAAUACAACGAUAAUUUUGUUUUCAGAAGAAUUUGAAGAAAAUUGUGAAUAUUAAUUUAGAUGAAAAUGAUUUAAGCGUAUCAAAAGAAUAUUAACAUUAACGUAUCACGUAUCACAAAAUAAUAACAUAAGAAGAUAAAAUGAUAAGCAUUGGAUAAGAAUAUUGGUGGAAAUGGAUAAUGUAUAAUAUUCGACAAUGUGGAAAUUAUAAUGGUCUAAUCUCGUGGUUUAUAUUGUAAAAACUGUAAAUACUCUGAUGGAAUAUUUAAAGGAUCUGGUAAAAAAAAUAAAAUUCAUGAACCGAAGCACAUGUAAACUUAUUACGGGCACAAUUGCUCAAUUUUUUUCUAUAGAAGAUAAAGUCGAGAUAAAAGUCCGAAUGGAUAAUAUCGUGUGGAUUUGUUCAAUUGCCAUUAAUAAAUUUGUAAAAUUUGUAAUGAAAUGACAACACUCGUUUCAUUAAAAUCCACUGCAUUAUGUUUUCUUGUGAAAAUGGUGUAGGAAGUUUUGACUCUAGUCUUUUAAAUUGGACAAAAUUUUUCCAAUAUGCAUACUGUCACUGCACACACUGUCAACGUACACAGGCAGUCUUAAAUGUUAUGCAGAAACACGACCGUUAUCUUUAAGACUAUUCUAUUCUAUCAUCUUUAAACGUAAUGAAACGAAGCAAGAAAUUUGGUUAUCAGAUAUAGGAACUGUUGGUCCUUCGGUAGAACGUGUAUUUAAAAGUAUAAUGACAGUAAAAUACUAAGCUUGGAUUAAACAUCCAUCAGAAGAAUUUGAAGAAAAUUGUGAAUAUUAAUUUAGAUGAAAAUGAUUUAAGCGUAUCAAAAGAAUAUUAACAUUAACGUAUCACGUAUCACAAAAUAAUAACAUAAGAAGAUAAAAUGAUAAGCAUUGGAUAAGAAUAUUGGUAUGAAAUAUUUUUACGAAAUAUUCAUUUUAUUUAAAUAAAAUUUUAAAUCUCGAUAAUCUAACAACGGAUGAUGCAGAUACAGAUGUUAAGAGAUGAUACUUUAACAAUUGAAAGUUUAGAUGGAAAUAGAUUAUAUUUGGAUUUCACGGCUCAAUUUAGAAUCUAUAAUUUACCACACAGUAUCGUUGAAAAUUUUGAAGUUGGACGUGAUCGUUCCUUAUUAGAGGAUAAUAUGAUAUCUAUUUAUAUUUUUAUAUUUUUAUAUUUAACAUAUAUUCAAUGAUAGGCAAUGAUAGAGACUAGCAUGAUGAAAUUAAAUAGAAGUUUGAAUAUGAUAUGAUAAGCGAUAUGUAAUUGAACAAUAAGUCAUAGAAAGAAAUUGAAAUAAAUUUAUGAGCGAAAAUAAAUAUAAA